CCUGUGGAGCGUUACAUCAAACGUUAGUAGCUCCGGCAAAAGCGGACGCGGCGAAGCAGGAA
ncrna:unclassified sequences RAGATH-18 RNA